rnacentral:lncRNA from 1 species
AAAGAAGAUAAUUAUAAUUUCAAAUUUAAUGUUGUCCUAAUUAAUAUAUAUCUCUUUUUCUUUCUCAUCAUUAAUUUUCUUCCUUAUUUAAGACAUUAUUUUACUACUAAUGAUCCUAAUUACUAUAAAAUAAUAAUAUUAAUAACUUUUCUGUUGUGAUACGGACAUUUAAGGAAUUAUAUUCGUGUAAUUAAUAAUGGAUAAUCGUUUUCUAUAUUUAUGGAAUUAAUAAAGUUAUAUCAGAUUAGUUUACCACUGCCACAAAUUAUUCUCAUUUUUAAUUUGAUUAUAUAUAUUAUAUUGUGUCCUCUCAGCUAUCUAAGUGCCACUCGUUGGAGUGUGGUACUUGCUUGACAGCUGGGAUCUUUCCUAGGUGAUGGCUGGGACUGCGUUUUCUUUGGGGACGCAGGUUUCCAUCUGAAUUGGAGGAGGCCUAUAUAAAGAAAUUCUUUACAGUCUACUUUGCUGGCCUUGAAUCUUCUUUCUUGAGUUUGACUGGCUUAGUAGCCACCUGGGCAACCUUUGACUCUGAAGGGAGGUUCAAGGUGUUGCACAAGCUCCUUGGGGGGGAGUGCCCGCACCGUUAAGGGAGUCUUUGUGUGGCUCAGGUUAGAUUAUGCCAUGGUUAUCUCCUAAUGGGUCUCAUCUUUCUACAUGAAAUGAAUAACAGAGGCGAGCGGAGUGAGGGCGGUGGGCGGGCACGGUGGGAAAGAAGACCUGCCUCACGCUAAGGAUAAGCCUCAUUUCUAGGAAGCCCGCUGAGCCUUCAAUCACAUCACUAUUGUUAGAUCCUUUAAUCGUGUAUUACCUCUUUCUGUCCUCC